UUGUUUUUUUUUCCCCCCCGUCCAAAGCCCAGCCAGGCAUAGUGCUGCCUUUCUGGCAGGCGUGUGCUCCGGGACGCGGUGUGGGAGGCCGGGUGUCCGGCCAGAGAGAGUGGCUCGGAGCUGGCGACGCCACAAAUCCCGGGGUGCACGGUGAGCCAGGAACUGGGAAGGGUCGAACUGUGAUGGCUCGUGUGAGCAGGGAUGCCUUCAGGGAAAGAGCAUGGAAUGCAGUCCGAGUGGAGAGCACUGAUCCUCUUCCUCUGCUCCAUAUCAUCGCAGUGAUGGGCCUUCUUUCAUCGCUCAGUCGCGUGAAACAGUCACACUGGUGGAUGCGUUCACACCUUUUUUGGAUAUUAUAUAUAUAUAUAUAUAUAUAUAUGUAUACAGCCCCAAUGGGAACGUAGAAGAAAAUAGCAGUAAGGAGAAUCCUUCUGAAGGACAGAGAGGUUGAGGCAAUCCCAGCCCCCACUGUGCUUUCUCGGUUUAUUUUUGUUUGCAAGGAAGUGAAGGUGCUCCCUGAGCUCAGUGGCAACCCAAGCAGGGAGGCGAAACAGCAAAGCUCGGUGCAAAGGGAUCCACUCGAGCUACCGACUCUGAGUCAUGCAGCUGCUAUUAAUACACCGCGCCCUCUGGCUGUCUGAUAAAGAGAGGCAUUUAUCUUAAGAGUCAUCAUCACAGAAUCUGAACAAACAUCUCAGGCUGUUAAAGGUGUGUGAAACUUAUUUAGGUAUUAUCCAGGGUCAAGAUCCUGUACUUGAGCAGCACCUCCAGAAUCCUCAGCUCCAGAGAAGAAGUCCAGGAGUCUAUGUCCAGGAUAAUCCCCUGCAGGAGUGUUGUAAUGAGGGAGGACAGCCCUAGUGUGCAAAGAAUUAUAUGGAAGGGCGAUCCUCCCUCUUCAGUGACACACAGUGAAGAGAAGGGAUAAAUCAGCACCUGAAAGCCUGGACAAAACACCUGAACAACAGUGGGCAGGGUAAUCUGCUGUUGAGCUGCAUUCUUGGCAGCUGGCUACGGUGUCAGACCGGUGUCAAGCCAUCCUUCCACUCACUGAUUUAAUCACCCGGCUGAGGAAACUUAGCCUCUAUCAUUGACUGUGAAGCCUGGCUGGCCAGCACACACCUUUCCCAUUGAAAAUCCAAAAGGUUGUUUGCAAAAGCUUUGUCCUGCAGCCCAAUCAAUUCCUGCCAGUGUAAGAUUUAAGAACAUUAUUUCUCUUGCUGACAGUGCUCACCAGAAGCCUAAGACACCAGCUGAGUAAGAAGCCCAAAGGCUUUAUCACUGAUGGUCUGUCACACAUGAUGACUUCUUCCAGUGACUGGUUUUUGGCUUUUUCCUGGUAUUUAGUCUCUGGUACUACGGCAAUGAUACCAUAGUGGUGUCCACCUAUCUCAGAGUCAAAUCUUAAUACCUUUUCUACUCAAGGAAGGGAAUAGCAGAAUCACUUGUAGAGGAUUGUGUUUAUUUAAGUGCCAAAUACGGAUCUCAGCAAUUAAUUUUAAAUGAAUCAGUCUUCGUAUCUCCUGGCGAUAAUUUAUUAAUUUAACUUCUGUGCAGUGUGUAGUAUGCAGCACUUAUAUUCCACCUAUUAUUUCAGUCUCCUUUAUAAUAUUAUGAUUUUUUUUUUCCUUUGCAACAUGGUAAUUGCACAAGAGACAGGUCAACAAAUAAAGCUGCUUGCAGUUAAGGUUGGGGCAAGCCAUCUGAUUUCUUGUAUGUCACUGCUCUUGUGUUGUGUCACCCAAACGUGCCUUCACUGAUACAUAAGGUUGGCAUCUAACA